rnacentral:rRNA from 1 species
AGCACCACAACGGGUGGAGCUUGCGGUUUAAUUGGAUUCAACGCCGGAAAUCUUACCGGGACCGACAGCAAUAUGAAGGCCAGGCUGAAGACUUUUGCCGGAUUAGCUGAGAGGUGUGCAUGGCCGUCGUCAGUUCGUACUGUGAAGCAUCCUGUUAAGUCAGGCAACGAGCGAGACCCACGCCCACAGUUGCCAGCGUACUCUCUGGAGUGACGGGUACACUGCGGGGACCGCCGGCUGCUAAAGCGGAGGAAGGAAUGGGCAACGUAGGUCAGUAUGCCCCGAAUAUCCCGGGCUACACGCGAGCUACAAUGGUUGGUACAAUGGGUAUCUACCCCGAAAGGGGACGGGAAAUCUCCUAAAACCAAUCUUAGUUCGGAUUGAGGGCUGCAACUCGCCCUCAUGAAGCUGGAAUCCGUAGUAAUCGCGUUUCAACAGAACGCGGUGAAUACGUCCCUGCUCCUU